rnacentral:rRNA from 1 species
CAGGACGAACGCUGGCGGCGUGCCUAACACAUGCAAGUCGAGCGGGGACAUGCGACGGAUCGGAAGUUUCGGAUGGAUGUGAAGAUGUAUGUUCUAGCGGCGGACGGGUGAGUAACGCGUGAGCAACCUGUCCUUCACAGGGGGAUAACACAGCGAAAGUUGUACUAAUACCGCAUAAGACCACAAUGGGACAUCCCGAAGGGGUCAAAAGGAGCAAUCCGGUGAAGGGUGGGCUCGCGUCCGAUUAGAUAGUUGGUGAGGUAACGGCCCACCAAGUCGACGAUCGGUAGCCGACCUGAGAGGGUGAUCGGCCACAUUGGGACUGAGACACGGCCCAAACUCCUACGGGAGGCAGCAGUGGGGAAUAUUGGGCAAUGGGGGAAACCCUGACCCAGCAACGCCGCGUGAGGGAAGAAGGUUUUCGGAUCGUAAACCUCUGUCCUUGGUGAAGAGAAAGAGACGGUAGCCAAGGAGGAAGCCCCGGCUAACUACGUGCCAGCCGCGGC